GCCUGGGUGGCUCAGUCGGUUAAGCGUGCGACUUCAGCUCAGGUCACGAUCUCGCGGUCCGUGGGUUCGAGCCCCACCUCGGCUU
rnacentral:tRNA from 1 species